rnacentral:rRNA from 1 species
UACGUAGGGGCUAGCGUUAUCCGGAAUUACUGGGCGUAAAGGGUGCGUAGGUGGUUUCUUAAGUCAGAGGUGAAAGGCUACGGCUCAACCGUAGUAAGCCUUUGAAACUGGGAAACUUGAGUGCAGGAGAGGGGAGUGGAAUUCCUAGUGUAGCGGUGAAAUGCGUAGAUAUUAGGAGGAACACCAGUUGCGAAGGCGGCUCUCUGGACUGUAACUGACACUGAGGCACGAAAGCGUGGGGAGCAAACAGGAUUAGAUACCCCCGUAGUCCCUGAGCGGGCUGG